GUGGCUUAACCAUAGUACGCUUUGGAANCUGUUUAACUUGAGUGCAGAAGGGGAGAGUGGAAUUCCAUGUGUAGCGGUGAAAUGCGUAGAUAUAUGGAGGAACACCGGUGGCGAAAGCGGCUCUCUGGUCUGUAACUGACGNUGAGGCUCGAAAGCGUGGGGAGCGAACAGGAUUAGAUACCCUGGUAGUCCACGCCGUAAACGAUGAGUGCUAGGUGUUAGGCCCUUUCCGGGGCUUAGUGCCGCAGCUAACGCAUUAAGCACUCCGCCUGGGGAGUACGACCGCAAGGUUGAAACUCAAAGGAAUUGACGGGGGCCCGCACAAGCGGUGGAGCAUGUGGUUUAAUUCGAAGCAACGCGAAGAACCUUACCAGGUCUUGACAUCCCGAUGCCCGCUCUAGAGAUAGAGUUUUACUUCGGUACAUCGGUGACAGGUGGUGCAUGGUUGUCGUCAGCUCGUGUCGUGAGAUGUUGGGUUAAGUCCCGCAACGAGCGCAACCCUUAUUGUUAGUUGCCAUCAUUCAGUUGGGCACUCUAGCGAGACUGCCGGUAAUAAACCGGAGGAAGGUGGGGAUGACGUCAAAUCAUCAUGCCCCUUAUGACCUGGGCUACACACGUGCUACAAUGGCUGGUACAACGAGUCGCAAGUCGGUGACGGCAAGCUAAUCUCUUAAAGCCAGUCUCAGUUCGGAUUGUAGGCUGCAACUCGCCUACAUGAAGUCGGAAUCGCUAGUAAUCGCGGAUCAGCACGCCGCGGUGAAUACGUUCCCGGGCCUUGUACACACCGCCCGUCACACCACGAGAGUUUGUAACACCCGAAGUCGGUGAGGUAACCUUUUAGGAGCCAG
rnacentral:rRNA from 1 species